ACCCCUGACCUAACUCCAACAGGAAGUGAGCUGUCGGUCUUUGAAUGUAAGAUGGUGUUUUUGACAAAUUCUGUCGAUCAAAAAUUAUUUGCUCCUACACCGUUUAUCAUAACUGCUUCAAACUUGCACAAAUUACAGCUCUACCCCUGCUGAACAUUACUUGUGAAGGACUUUGUCAUAACUUGAACGGUUUGGAUUUUAGAAGCGUUAGAAGGUGCAGGACACAACUCCUCAUGAUGAUCUCUGGAAGAAAAGAUGAGGGCCAACACAUUGUAAACUUGUGAUUAAGGUGACAUUUUUCAGUCCAUAGACAUACAAGCUUUAUAUGUUUGCGUUCAGAACAAAUUUAUCUAUCUGGUGAUGUUUUCAGAUUGAAGAUGGGACCCACGGUUUGGCAUCUGGAAGGAUUUGUUUGAGAAAGUUUCAAGCCAUUCUGCUCUGUGUCUGAGCUGCAUGCAGUCCUUAA